rnacentral:rRNA from 1 species
GGAGCCUGAGAAACGGCUACCACAUCUAAGGAAGGCAGCAGGCGCGCAAAUUACCCAAUGAAAACAGUUUCGAGGUAGUGACGAGAAAUAACAAUACAGGGCAUUUUAUGCUCUGUAAUUGGAAUGAUGGGAAUCCAAACCCCUUUCAGAGUAACAAUUGGAGGGCAAGUCUGGUGCCAGCAGCCGCGGUAAUUCCAGCUCCAAUAGCGUAUAUUAGAGUUGUUGCAGUUAAAAAGCUCGUAGUUGGAUUUCUGCUGCGAUUUUCUGGUUCCGCCCGUAUGGGUGUGCAACUGGUUUGAUCUUUGCUUUCUUCCGGUUUCCUUCCUCGCUUUAUUGCGUUGGUCGGUUUCUCCGGAACUUUUACUUUGAGAAAAAUAGAGUGUUUCAAGCAGGCUUGUCGCCUUGAAUACUUCAGCAUGGAAUAAUAAGAUAGGACUUUGGUUCUAUUUUGUUGGUUUCUAGAACUAAAGUAAUGAUUAAUAGGGACAGUUGGGGGCAUUCGUA